GCAGCUCAGCGGUAGAGCAUCUGCCUCAUGUGCAGGUGAUCUUGGGUUCGGUUCCUGACAUCUCCA